rnacentral:lncRNA from 1 species
UUUUGCACAUGGCAUUUGCUUUUGAAAUGCCUUUAGUCAAAUACACCAGAGCAACUCCCAGCUGAGACCAUUUGAGCACAGUUCCUAGUGGGGCCACAUUCAGAGCAAGCCUCUCGCCGGCUCACUCAGUUGAGCUGUUGCUUAGACACCACAAGUUUCUACAAGGGACUUAUGGGGAACGGCCCUCAGGGGUCCUGGUUCACAUCUCAGCUUUAUUCAUGUGCUGGAAGCACAAACAGCGAGUCCAGGGAGGGAUUCUGCUAAUCAGAUGAGUCUGCUCUUGUGUCUCUUUCUUAGGAGACAAAUACCUGUAUGUAAUUGCUUCAAGAACUCCAUUUGGUUCUGAUCAUUACCAAUGAAUAUAACUGAAGGAGCACCAAAGAUCAGGCAUAACCUCGGGCCAGUUCAUUCUGAAAAUGAUGUCGUAAAAAGAGUAUGUGUGAGAGAAAUCUCCUUCCCAAGUUUUUAACCAGAUCUCGUCACAAUGAGGAGAAUGCUAUAAUCUAUCUCAUGGUACAUUUUUGGAGCUUAAUUCUAGCAUACUCCUCCAAGUACACUCACAAUUGUAGCUGAGUCAAGACUGCUAAAUGAACAGAUAGGAGAACUUAUAUUAGACUAAUAUCCUUGACACGAAGCAGGGUUCAUUGUAAUAAAAACGGCAAACAGAUAAAUCUUCUACCAAAACCAAAGAUGGAAAGUCACUGCACCAGUCUCCUGGAACUUCAUAAAAUCAAUUUCACUGGAGCAACCAGAAGGGUCAUGGAGAUGUAUACCACUCGCUUGGGCUCGUAGGUUUUUGACUGGGGAUGCCUCUACACUUUGUAAGUCAUUUCUCCCUUCAAAAAUUGUAUUAUAUCUUUAAUAUAUGUGUAUUUUUCAAUGCGAGGGAGGAAUUACUAUGAACCAAAGAUAUCUUUUGGCUCCUUCUGAAAGUGACUCAGUUUGAAUUCCAUUCAGAUUUGUACAGAUAAAUAGAUGGUCACCAUUUCUGCAUCAGGUUGGAAGAGACCAAUGAUAAAGGAACCCAACGUAAGGAAUAGCAGUUCUGAAAAUAGACAAAGCCUAGAGGAGGUAUCUAUUUCACUGAGAGAUUACACGAGGGGACUUAUUUUUUAUGUUCCCAAUUUUUUCUUCUGAUAAUAUUAAUCAAUGUACACAUGAUUGAUGCAUGAUAUUACACUUAAAAUGCAGGAGAGUACAAAACAACCUUGAUCCAAUAGUUUCCUAUUCUGGGGGGUGGGGGCAGAGGCGGAAAAGAAAACACAUCUUUCACUUACUUAUUGAACAAACAAUAAGCACUCAGAACUAAUUUAUUUAUGCAGGUUGCAAAUAUGUAUGAAGCAAUAGGUUCUGGCCACUGCCACAAUUUGAAAUCAAUAAAAUAAGAAAUAUAUAUUUAUAUAUGAGGGAAGAUGCUGUUUGAUAGAGCAUGUGAAAUCAAUGGAAACAUAUUUAUUAAAAGUAAACCUCACCUUUUUCACCAAAUAGUAACUAGAGAACUAGUCCUAGUAUCUUGCGUAAUUCUUCUCUGUCUUCAUUGGGAAAUUAUGUUUGAAAAUCUUUCAUCACCUAUAAAAUGGUGAGCCUCUUGUACUUUCUAUUCAGUGUAGAAAGAGUGGACUGAUAAAUAACUUUACAUUGUUGGUAGUAGUUUCUACAGAUCCAGUUUAUUGCAUGUCGUAUCUUUAUUGUAGAUAUUAAAAACACAUGAUAAAAAUUGAUGUGUGCCCCUCCUUGUUUGGCCAGUAUCACAGAAAACUUUGUAAAAAAGCAUGGGGACCCUACUCCCUAGAUUAUUUGAGCCAUUUACUAAAAUUGGCCAUUAGUGAUACAGUGAAAACAAGCUAAGGAAAUGAUAUUCUCCUAAAAAGUUAUAUUCCAGUUUUGAUUAUUAUAACACAGCACAAUAAAUGGGCAGUAUACGUCUAAUGGAACUGAGAUUUAAGGCUUUAACAAUUCGUGUUUUAAAAUAUUAUAUUGAAGACUGCACAAAGAGAAAAUUAUACAUGUUUCUCCAAUCCUGUGAUCAUGUCUGUAAAUACCUUGCAAUUUCAAAUUACUUCAUCCGUCAUUAACUAUAUGAUCUCCCAAACACAGCCUUCUCAAAAUCGAUAAAAAUUUGCCACUGAAUAUGCAUUAAUAGCUAUAACAAUGGGUGACAUGCCACACAAAUUUAGCUUAUGCAAUUUAUGGGGUGUGUGUUUGCAGACUAUGAAAUGUAUGAAGUGCAGUCUCCCAUGGAGAGAAUAGAGAGGCAGGAUGGCAACUAGUCAUGAACGCAACAAUUUAGGUUAAAUGAUAAAGAAUACAAUGAAAUGUCCAGAGUAACACUUGGUCUCUACCUUUCUAACAUUCUAACCCAAGGCCAGUGUCAUGGGCUUGGCUUUCUUCCCUGUCGCCUCAUACUGAGUAUGCAAUUUACAGAGGACAUCUGUUGCUUUAUGUCUUAAGGCCACUAGAGGAAGUCACUACAUUCCCAACAAAGAUGUGUCUUUCGGCUUAGUGAAAAACAUUUAACAAGAAACAAUGUGUAACCAAGUCCCCACAGUAAAAUGUGUCUUCAGAAACAUGAGAAUCACUUUUAUAUAGCCAACCUCAUUUGAAUUUUAUCAUGAACAUAAAUUAUCGGUGAGACUGGUGUGCGGGGCUGGAUCUGUGAGACAAGCUCACACUCUCAUGUGUGCAUUCUCUAUUAACAUAUUUGGAAGAUUGCCCACAUUUUCUCUGCAGACCUGCCACAAAUCCUUACCUUCUUACUGAAGAAUGUGACUAUUGUAGCAUUCGUGCAAUUAUGCCAGCAGAGGAGGCACUAGACAGUUUAUAGACUCUUAUGGAAGUUGGGCACAUUUCCCAGGCAGGUGGAAUGCUAGCUAGAUCUAGAAGCACCCUUAAAGGUCAUGUAGAAUCAAGGUCCCACUUUAUGUUUCCCUUGGGAGAAAACUGAAACCCAUGGAUGCUGUAAUUUGUUUAACGGCAAAGAAAGAGCCAAGAAUUGUUUCUCGUAGUUCCAGGGUCCUGAUCUAGGAAUGUUUCCUUGGCUCCAUGGCAUCUCCCAGUUUGACAUAGUGGGAGCUGAGAAAUGCCAUAUGGCCUCAAAAUAAAUAAACCCUUGUACAUUUAAGUGUUUUCCCAGAUUUUCAGAUGCCUCUACUCUUGCUGAACUCAUCACCAGCUGUAUCAGUAGAGAGGUGUUAUGGGGCAAUUCAUUAGAUUUCUGGUAGGUCAUGAAUGGUUGGUAUAAGCUUUAUUUACUCAUAUAUUGUCAUCCAGUUCUUUGAAAUUCAAUCUUAUCCUAAAGUGGUAGUCAAAGUAAAACACAUUAAGUAGGUGUUUGUGUUUAGCAGUCCUACUAAUUCAUCACAAUCACAUAGUAAUUGUGAUUAUAAUUUUUGGAAUCUUUAUCACUUUCUAGCACUUUACGGUGUCAUUAUUUAUGGCAUUUUUAACAACUUUGUUGCAUAAUUGAUAACAUCAGGGCUACAUUUUUUUCAUGUGAGCCUCAAGAAGCUUCCAUUAUCAACAAGAAUUGGGGAAAUGACUUUUUUACAUUAUAAUACCUUAUAUAUUAGGUUUUUCCUGAUAAUCUUCAGUAGACAAUGAUUUAAAUUAACUGAAGUUUAAAUAAGAAAUAUGUUAAAAUUACUAAAUAAUAUGAAAACCACAUUAUACUUGUAAUUUUCAGACACUUUUCUCCUACCUUAAGAUUUUAACAUCUUGUAAAUAUUAAUAUUUGAAGGGGAGAGGAAAAAUACAUUUGUAGUAGAAAUAUUCCCUCUAACAAUUCUGUUUAACUAGUAAGUUUUUUUUAAGUUAUCUUCCAUGCCUGCUUCCCUAGUCUGAACUCCACAUUCCAGUUGUCAGAAGAAUGAAUGGAUUUAAAUUUUCUAAUCAUUAUUUUGGGCCCAUGUUAGCAGUUGAAACAAUUAAGUUCCUCACUCUUUCCUGCUUUUAGGAUGAUUUUAGACUGUGAGCAUAAAAUCAACCCUUUCUGUCAGCACAGAAUUGAACAUCGAAUGGAGCAAGGUCUACACUCUCAGCCUGUAGCUGUGCUAAUGUUAGGAUUGAAUUGUUCUAUUAAUUCCCUCAAGAGACCCACAGCCUCAAAAGAGUUGCUUAUUAUCAGAUGUCCGAAAUUCAGAAACCCAAAGUCAGGCAAAGAAGGAAACUGAGAUAAUGAUUUAAUUUUUUUAAGUCACUGCAGGAUUUCUCUCAAAGAAAACAUCUGAAAAUGGUUGAGAAAGUAGUUCCAGAUCAUUAACUAUUUUACAGAGGGACUGAAAGCCAGGGAAAAUAAAGAACAGAAUGAUAGUAGUAUCUUGAUAUUAAAUUUGCAUCAGAAAUGAGCAAAAUAUGUCAAUAUGAAAUAAUUUGAAAUCAAAUUCAGAUUCACAUGUAUAGUGCAUAGUUCAAGAAAUAAUGCUUACUCUUGUAAAAAAAAAAAAUAUAUAUAUAUGUAUCAGCAGGUAGAGUGUGGGAGCUCCAACUUUGUUGUGAAAGCUGAUAACAGAGUAUGAUUCUUUCCAGUUACAAAAUACUGUAUUACUUUAGUUAUAGCAAGCAGUACAUAAAUGACAUCAACAACUCAGGCUGCUCCCUGACAUAAAAGCCAGUUCCAUCUUUACUGCAGAUGACAGGAGACUUUCCAAGACCUGCAGAGGCCCCCUCCACCCCAACCUUAGUGCAUGCUCACACACACACACACACACACACACACACACACACAUUUUUGGCUUUUGACCCACUCUGUGUGUUCCACUGAAGUUAUCUUUUCCUUAAUAGAUUCACACAGAAUUACCCCAUCCUGCAAAAUCCUUAUCCCUAUGAAUCUCUAAAAUAUAUUAAAUAAUGUGUUAUAUAUUUGCUUUUUGUAAAUCUUUAUUUAAUUAAUUUAUAUAUACUUUGUGAAGUCUUAUACUGUACAUCAUAAAGCGAUGUCAUCUGUAGUUGGUUCAAUAUAAUGUUUAUGAUCAUUUUGAUAAGAAAUAACUUUGGACAUUAGGCCCUUGUUAAGAAAUAAAACACCCAUUAUAAAUUUGCUUCUGUUGGAAAAUACAUGAUUUGGCAUACUUCAUUUUUAGUAACAAUCUAUUCUAGAUAAAUGAUAAUUUGGGGACAUCUGUACUUAAAAACUAGCUGAACUACGUUUUGGGAUGAGAUGCAAAGCAACAGCUGUCCCUGGAACUGAAAUGUGAAUUUCUAGCAGAACAGAAAAUAUUAUAAUAAUGAGGCAAUAAUAAAAUUAGGAAAUUAAAUUAU